rnacentral:lncRNA from 1 species
UAUAUUUCUUUCAUUCGUGGAAGGUUCUAUUUCCGAGGGUGGAGUCACCCUUCCCGAGUCCUGCACUCCUCCAAAAUGUGACCGCAGAGCUCCACCUAGUUUUCACCGGCGCCGCCGAGACUACCGCCUCCACCACCGCCGCCGAUCUUCUCCUACUGAAUGAUAAUUAGAAUUAUCAUUUAUCUGUAAUAAAUAAAACACAGAAAUUUGUUGUGUUACAAUUCCGGUACCUUACUUUCUCUUUAAAAUUUUAUAAUUUUCUCAGCAACUCUACC